AGAGUUUGAUCCUGGCUCAGGAUGAACGCUAGCGAUAGGCCUAACACAUGCAAGUCGAGGGGCAGCAUAGAGUAGCAAUACUUUGAUGGCGACUGGCGCACGGGUGAGUAACACGUAUGCAACCUACCUACAUCAGGGGAAUAACCCGGAGAAAUUCGGACUAAUACCGCAUAAUACAGGGAUGCCGCAUGGUAAUAUUUGUUAAAGAUUUAUCGGAUGUAGAUGGGCAUGCGUUCCAUUAGCUAGUUGGUAAGGUAACGGCUUACCAAGGCAACGAUGGAUAGGGGAACUGAGAGGUUUGUCCCCCACACUGGAACUGAGACACGGACCAGACUCCUACGGGAGGCAGCAGUGAGGAAUAUUGGUCAAUGGACGAGAGUCUGAACCAGCCAAAUCGCGUGAAGGAAGACUGCCCUACGGGUUGUAAACUUCUUUUGUACAGGAAUAAAAGACAUUACGUGUAAUGUAUUGCAUGUACUGUACGAAUAAGCAUCGGCUAACUCCGUGCCAGCAGCCGCGGUAAUACGGAGGAUGCGAGCGUUAUCCGGAUUUAUUGGGUUUAAAGGGUGCGCAGGCGGGAUUUUAAGUCAGCGGUGAAAUUUUCAGGCUCAACCUGAACACUGCCGUUGAAACUGGGAUUCUUGAGUAUGGAUGAAGUAGGCGGAAUUCGUUGUGUAGCGGUGACAUGCUUAGAUAUAACGAGGAACUCCGAUUGCGUAGGCAGCUUACUAAGCCAUAACUGACGCUCAAGCACGAAAGCGUGGGGAUCAAACAGGAUUAGAUACCCUGGUAGUCG
rnacentral:rRNA from 1 species